GAUGAACGCUGGCGGCGUGCUUAAUACAUGCAAGUCGAGCGAACGGACGAGAAGCUUGCUUCUCUGAUGUUAGCGGCGGACGGGUGAGUAACACGUGGAUCACCCACCUAUAAGACUGGGAUCACUUCGGGAAACCGUCGCUAAUCCCGGAUAAUCUCUUGCACCGUAUGGUUCAAAAGUGAAAGACGGUCUUGCUGUCACUUAUCGAUGCAUCCGGGCUGGAUUAGCUAGUUGUUAGGGUAACGGCUUACCAAGGCAACGAUGCAUAGCCGACCUGUGAGGGUGGUCGGCGACACGAGAACGGAGACACGGUCCAGGCUCCUAAGAGAGGCAGCAGUAGGGAAUGUGCCGCAGUGGGCGGAAGCCUGGCAGAACAACGCCGCGUGAGUGAUGGAGAUCUUGGGAUCGGAAAACUCUGUUAUUAGGGAAGAACAGAUGUGUAAGGAGCUGUACACAGCGUGACGGUAAUGAGUCAGGAAGCCACGGCUAACUACGUG
rnacentral:rRNA from 1 species